GUGCUCACUUUGGCAACACACAUACUAAAAUUGGAAUGAUACAGAGAAGAUUAGUAUGGCCCUGUGCAAGGAUGACAUACAAAUUUGUGAAGCAUUCCAUAUUUUU
ensembl:snRNA U6 U6 spliceosomal RNA